CAGUAGAUAUUGAAGAAGAUGUACAUCCUGGAAUAACUGGAGAAACAAUUUCUACGAAGAUAUCACUGCACCAAGUGCAAAGGAGAAAAGUAGCUAGAUUGUUUGAGAGAGAGCCAACAGGUGAUGUGUAUAAUUUGUUUGCCUUUCCCUCCGAGUGCAAUUUCUCAGGGAUGAGAUUUGGCCUCGACUUGGUGCAGAUGAUCAAGGAAGAUUCGAGCAGGAUUUUAGGAAUUUCUUCAGCUUGCAAAAAUGGACAAUGGAUGGUCUUGAUUGAUGCUGCAAAGGGAUCUGCUACCAUGCCACCUGAUCUAUCUAAGUAUCCUGCAGAUUUUGUCGCAAUUUCAUUUUACAAGGUAUAAGGGU